CGGCGGGCGGCGGGGCGAGCAGCUCUGAGCACGGCGAGCGCACAGCGCGGCGGCCGGUCCGCGCCCUUAACCCUUCGGUCCGGAAAUCUGCUCUGGGUAUGGAACUACCCAGCUUUACCCUGGGUAGACGAUCCGCGCACUCCUCUCGCCGCUAAUUCGGGAUCAUUAAUUUCAUCGGAAAUGAGGCAACCAGUGUAGGAGAUAGAGAAAGCAAACCGAGCAUCAGAUGGCAGUUCUCGUGAAUCCGCGCCGGAGAACUUCCUCUGGACUCAAAUUUAAGUGCGGUUCUCAACUCCUCGGCACCCCGUCCCUCCGUGGGUACCACCGCCAGGCGUUAGCUGGAAGGGAAGGACUCUUCUUUGGAGGGGUGGUACCUGGCCAACAGGUGUGGCACCUGGAGGAAGAGAAGGCACGGCCAUGCUAAAGGGAGCUCAGUGCGGCGUUUUCCUGGCUGCAGAUAAUUCUGGAAGACCGGUAUCAUCGGAUGCAUCUCCUCUGAAAACCGAUCAAGUUACAAGGUGAUGCCUUCCAACCCCUCCCCCAUCUCUGGUUUAAAAGUUGUAGCUGAAAUACCAAUAGUAAGAACAUGUGACCCCAGCACUCCCAGCGGGAGCUUUUCUGCAGUCAAUUUCAUAAUGACUUUGCUCCGCCUCUCUGCUCAGCACUUCCUUCCCCCUCACUCUCCUCUCUCCCCCACCCCCAGCAAUGAAUCAUCCCGCAUUUAAAGAGACUUAGAUGACCCAGUGUGAACUUUACAGGCAUCCUGUACAUUCUUAUGCCAAAAAAGGGAGUUGCUGUGUGACAGAAACCUAGGCAGAUCCCGAUGCAGAUCUCAGAAGUGGGGAGCUUGGGUGCUUAUCUAGGAAGAUCAGUGAGGAGUUAAUUUUCCUAGAUCCUGGUGGGGAUUCAGAAUUGCCUAUCGCAGUUCACGAUCAGGUUUUUAAGAACCCAGUUCAGCUCUUUGUGCAGAAAGGAAUAUAUCAGAGACAAAAAUGUUGGCAGAUCUCCUUUAUGCAAUCAGGGCAGAGGAAUUUAUACCACAUCAGCCUUUUGAUUUCUUCAGAUCUGGCUGAGGGUGGGGUUUCCAUAUUUGUGCUUUGGCAAAUGUGUCCAAGAAUGAACUCUGCCUUAGAGAUGCUCCGAAUGUUCUUUCAGGUUACUGUGUGCUGAUUUGUGCAUUUAAUAUUAAAACCAGAAACAUUCUUGCCCCUUCAUUUCUUUAAUACCGUUUCUGAGUAAUACAGAUUAAGUAGACAAUCUGGGCCUUGCUUUUAGAGACCUUUUCACCCCACUUAAGGCGGUAAAGAGUGGACCACCUAGAUAACAUUGUGCUUUUGCAUAUACUUUCUCUCUACCUGGGAAGCCCUUCUUUGCAUGGCGAUCUUUCCCCACCCUCCAGGACCCAGCUCAAGCACCAGCACUUCUGCAAGUCUUCCCUGAUUAUCACAAGACUUUGCAGCUCUGCCCAAUGUGUGAGUCAGAGAAGUGCUAUUUUCUUAUUCUUUUUAUUUAUACAAUAUAUAUCUUCUUAACUCUGACAGAAAAAAAUCAGGGCCAUAAGCACAGAUGGAGAUUAUCCUAAGUGAGAGCGUCUCUUAUCUAAUAUUUCCUUUACUCCCAAACCCAUUUGACCUCCACUUACGAUUUCACAUGUAACCGUUUUCCUUUUAUUGCUCCAUUUCUGUGGCUCCCCCCACUGGUCAGUUCUCUACGUGAGUUCCUGUUGCCCUCUGUCAUAGGUUGAACUGUGUUCCCCGAAAGAUAUAUUGAAGUCCUAGGCCCCAGGAAAGUGAGUGUGACUUUAUUUGGAAAUAGGGUCUUUGCAGAUGUAAUUAGUUAAGAUGAGGCCUUACCGGAUUAGGGUGGAUCCUGAGUCCAAUAUGACUGCUGCCCUCCUAAGAAGAGGAGGCACAGAAACACAGAAGAGACACAGGGCGGGGAAGAAGGGUACAGGAAGACAGAGGCAGAGCUUGGUGUUAUGCUGCCACCAGCCAAGGAAAGCCAAGAAUGGCCAGCAACCACCAGGAGCGAGAAGAGGCAACGAAGGAUCCUUCCCUAGAGCCUCAGAGGGAGCAAAGCCUUGCUGACACCUUGAUUUUGGACCUCUAGCCUCCAGAAAUAGGCCACUGUGACCAGAACUCAGGUGUAGGAUCUGAAAGUAACCUGGCCACACAAAAAAGUAUAAAACACUACCACCUCUUCACAGACUCACUCCACUUUAUAUUUGAGGGAAACGAUCCUGGAAGCGGAAAUACUUCGAGAGUUCAACAGUCUGGGAAAUUUAAAGGAGGGGGAAAAAAGCCCUGCAUUUCCAAAGAUCUGAAGACAGAACUCUGCUCUCUGAGGACAGCAGGAAGUAAGAAGACCCGAUUCGUGGCUUCAGGAGAGGAAAAGAAAAGAGCCCCACAAGGAAACUACCAACAGAUGGGAAAUCCAGGUGAGAGAAGCCCUACCCUGGAGCAUCUCCGGAAAACUCAUACAAACCAACAAGAGAGGCAACUUGGUAUAUCUGUCAAGGCCAAAGAACUCUGAUACUAGCUCGUCACACGACUACCAGGCAAGUAAGAACUUUCUUGCUCCCCUCUCCUUAUCUUCCUCCCAGUAAUCUAACCACAGAGAAGUGUGCAGUCACCUUCUGAAAACUGCAGGGGGCAGGGAUCAGAAAAGAAAGGGCACAUGGGUUGCUCUCCUAACCCAGUUGUGGCUCUUUGUAGGAGGCUGAGAUGGGGAUGGGAGAAACCUGUCGAUGUUUUUACUGUGACAUGAAUCCAGACACGUUAAUUACUGACCAAAGGAUAUAUUUCCUGGAAGUGACUAGAAGAAUAAAAAUUUGAUCUAAAUUUCACCCAAGAGCAGAGAAAGUGCUAACUCUGUGGAAUAAAUCUGAAGUGUUGCUUUAUGAUUGAUUACAUCCUAUGAGUCACACUUGUUCAAUGUAACAGUUACAUAACCAUUUCUAAAUGCAAUUGAAUGGAGCAGUUCUUAUAGAACCUUCUGUAGCGUUUUCCCCUAUGAAGUCACCGUGUUUCUGUCUGAAAUCUGGAAAAUUAUAUGUCAAAUUGUCC